UUCAUGUUCUUGAAGUCAUUUCAUGUUUUAUGGGCUAUAGAGCAACUUGGCUGUUUUCAGAUGCCCAUACGUUGAGAUUUCAACUUUGCCCUUGGGUUUUUUGCUACACAGAACUUUUUCAUGAAUUUGUGGCAUUUAUAUAUACGAUCGUUAUAACUUAUAACGACUUAUAACUUCGUAUUGUUUUGUGUAUAUACGUGUCCGAGUUGUGUUUUAAACAUGUGUACGUGUGCGUAUAUAUAUUCUGCCCUUGCAUGUUUUUGUGUCAGAUACCCACAGCUGAAAUCAAUAUAUUAUGGGAUGGUGCGGCUGCAUGGUUGUUUUCAGAUUGCCCGAAUAUUUAUAAUUUGCAGCAUUGUAUAAAUGGAAUAUUCAAUUUGCGGCUACCUCCGAUGUAUGCCAUUGUGAUUAUUCCCCGCUGCUUCGUUUUUUGUAUGUUUCUCUGUAAAUUUCAAGUUUUAUGGGCUAGAGCACUAGCUGUUUUCAGAUGCCCACGUUGAGAUUUCAACAUUGGGUUUUUCCUUCACAGGACGUUUUCAUGAAUUUCUGGCAUUUAUAUACAUAUAUAUGUUCAUGUUCUCAUUCAGUCUGUUCUGUUUUGUAUACGUGGCUGUUACGGCUGUUCUCGUCUAAACUUAUGUUGUGUCACUGUGACCGUAUAUAAUUUGCUACUGUUCCUGUGUUAGGAAAAAUGCAUGUCUACGUGGGAUAGAGCGAUUAUCGUUUUCAGAUGCCCACAGUUGAAAUCAAUAUAUUGUGGGACGGUGCAGCUAGUUGUUUUCAGAUUGCCCGAAUAUUUAUAUAUUUUGCAGCAUUGUAUAAAUGGAAUAUUCAAUUUGCGGCUACCUCCGAUGUAUGCCAUGAUUAUUCCGCUGCGUUGUGCGAUGUAUGCCAACUUCAUUUCGUUGUGACGUUUACAUAUAUGUCAAUACUUCUAACGUUUUGCAGUAUUGUUAUAGAAUAACAAUUAGAUUAUUCCACUGCUUUUUGUCUUACAGGUUAUUUUAUUAUUGUACAGUAUGUUUUUGUUAGGUUUAUAGUCCGUUUAGCCGGGUAUGUCGAUAUCAACCGGUCAAGCAUAGCUAAUGUACAUGGUGCAACUCAAAUUUUGCUUGUCUGCGUUCUUUAGUCUUUUCUUUCAGAACAUCCAUGCUACUAGCCCAAGCAUCUCAAGGACCUCAAGUACAAAUGGUCGCUGAAGAAAACGUCAAUCGUCCACCCUUCAUGAUUGCCAGUACACUGACAGUGAAAUGUUAUGGCCAACUUGGUACUUCCUAUCCUUCAACUAUUUUCGUCCGCACCACCCGCGCUGUAAUAUAGAUUUGUGGUUUGUGACUUGGCAGUACGCGGUGGCGCCAAAUUACAAAAUUUGAUACACAUUUGCGCUCUUUGCGGCCAAACCACAUACUGCGAUGCCAGGGG